rnacentral:rRNA from 1 species
AUUGAACGAUGGCGGCAGGCCUAACACAUGCAAGUCGAGCGGAGCGGCGGACGGGUGAGUAAUGCCUAGGAAUCUGCCUGGUAGUGGGGGAUAACGUCCGGCAACGGGCGCUAAUACCGCAUACUAUCAGAUGAGCCUAGGUCGGAUGAGCUAGGUGGUGGGGUAAAGGCCUACCAAGGCGACGAUCCGGAACUGGUCUGAGAGGAUGAUCAGUCACACUGGAACUGAGACACGGUCCAGCCGCCUAAGCAAGGCAGCAGUGGGAACGAUUGGACAAUGGGCGAAGGCCUGAUGCAGCCAUGCGGUGUGUUUGAAGAAGGUCUGCGGAUUGUAAAUCACUUUAAGUUGGGAGGCGUUACCAACAGAAUAAGCACCGGCUAACUUCGUGCCAGCAGCCGCGGUAAUAC